ACUUCUGGAUCGCCUCCAUUUUCAGUGUAUUCUGUCGACACGUUUGCAUGUUCGAACAUUACUUUUUUACGGGGGAAAGGCACUGCGCUUUUGAUGUGAGGGUGGCUGCUUUUCUGCGAAAUCCAACAAACUUGGCAUUACCUACAUGGUUAUCUGCGCUGAUUUGCCAUUCCAAGAAAGACAAUAUUACUUUGAUAACAAGAAAAUUAAUAACCCAGAAAGAAUUGUUUGGUACGAAAAGCAUUACUCGGCACUGAUAUUCUAAAAAUGAAAAGCAAAUAGUUAUUAUAAAAUUUGAGCGACAUCACGUCGUGUUAAUCCAAUUUUAACGACAAAGUAAUUAAAUUCAAUGUAAAUAGGCUUUCUAUCCUACAAGAAAGUGUUGCAGGCUGACAAAACGUGGGGUAAUUAUUGUCUUGUGGUAAAUGGCGUGAUUAUUUUGCGAGACGGCCUGGGAUCGUGAAACCACGUCCACAUAAGCCGAGGACAUCAAAUGCGAAACUGUCGGAAAUCGAUGGCGAAAUUAUUUGAGUUAAUCGAUUACUCUUUAUUAUGUUUGGACAAAACUCAACGCAGCCUGGUUUUUUCGUAUUUCGAUCUGCCAAAAUGCUAUUUUUGCAGGAAAGCCACACAGGAGCGAGAAGAAUUUGGAGAUUGAAGGUAUCUUUUAAGCUUCAAAAAGCUGCUACAGAGGUCAUGCCAACAGU